AGAGUUUGAUCCUGGCUCAGGAUGAACGCUGGCGGCGUGCUUAACACAUGCAAGUCGAACGGGAAACCUUUUAUUGAAGCUUCGGCAGAUUUAGAUUGUUUCUAGUGGCGGACGGGUGAGUAACGCGUGGGUAACCUGCCUUAUACAGGGGGAUAACAGUCAGAAAUGACUGCUAAUACCGCAUAAGCGCACAGAGCUGCAUGGCUCAGCGUGAAAAACUCCGGUGGUAUAAGAUGGACCCGCGUUGGAUUAGCUGGUUGGUGAGGUAACGGCCCACCAAGGCGACGAUCCAUAGCCGGCCUGAGAGGGUGAACGGCCACAUUGGGACUGAGACACGGCCCAGACUCCUACGGGAGGCAGCAGUGGGGAAUAUUGCACAAUGGGGGAAACCCUGAUGCAGCGACGCCGCGUGAAGGAAGAAGUAUCUCGGUAUGUAAACUUCUAUCAGCAGGGAAGAAUUAGGACGGUACCUGACUAAGAAGCCCCGGCUAACUACGUGCCAGCAGCCGCGGUAAUACGUAGGGGGCAAGCGUUAUCCGGAUUUACUGGGUGUAAAGGGUGCGUAGGUGGCAGUGCAAGUCAGAUGUGAAAGGCCGGGGCUCAACCCCGGAGCUGCAUUUGAAACUGCAUAGCUGGAGUACAGGAGAGGCAGGCGGAAUUCCUAGUGUAGCGGUGAAAUGCGUAGAUAUUAGGAGGAACACCAGUGGCGAAGGCGGCCUGCUGGACUGUUACUGACACUGAGGCACGAAAGCGUGGGGAGCAAACAGAAUGAGAUACCCUGGUAGUCCGCGCCGUAAACGAU
rnacentral:rRNA from 1 species